UUGGUGACACACACUGGAGAGCUUGUUAUAGUUCCUCGAAAAUACAAAUAGUUUUUUUUUUCUUUUCUUUGUUCAUAGCUUUAUAAUUUCUCCCAUAAGUGAUGUCAAAGUCAUUGACCUAAGAAAAUAAGUUUUCAGGAACUCAUGAGACCAUAUGGUACCCAUGUACCAAUUCAAGCACAAAAAUGCAGCUUCUGGGUGAGGUAAACUCUCAGCUGAAAGUUGUGGGGAAGCAACAAGAUACCACCAUGUGCUGGCCCUGUUUUUCCAGACUUACUGGUUAUCUCCAGAGGUCCCUACUAGAGUGGAGGUACGCAGCUACACACACUUGUAGCUAAAGAUGAUGCAGCCUUUCUUGGUUGACUUCUUAACACAGGCUUCUCAGAGCCACAAGUUUUACAAGAAGCUGUGUAAAAUACUGGGAAAAUGUUGCUCCAUCUCGAUAAAGUUCUUGCAGAUGUGUCUUCUUCUGCCAUGUCAUCUCAUCAUCUUAUUGUUCAUUUCUUUUCAUACAAAAUGUUCUGUGCUUUUACUUACUUGUGUACUUUCAAGUGCUGGCCUUAAAUACAGAACCUGCCUGGAUUGUCUCACCAACACAAGGUGGGACACCUGUGCAGGGCCCGUCUUGCUCUUCAGGUGUUGCAUCAGCCCUGGAAGCCAUUCAGAGCCUCCCCAACUGUUCCCUGCUCAGUCUGCUUGUGUUGGGGCCACAGUGUAACCACAAACAAAUGAAGCAUGAAAGACUGUACAGGACCUUUAUUUAGAUUUAUUCAGACAUAAACUGUGAUGUAAAUUCAGCUGGGUUCCAGAUCAGGUGAUGCCAGUGAGUGAAGGUUGGUAAUCUGCACUAUUGUUCUUCAGGUGUGUUGUUGUCAGCAAUUUUUGGCAAGUCACUUCAAGAAAUCUCAUAACACAUUGUUCUCUCCUACCUUAUCAGUCUUUCAGAUGAUAAAAGAAAACUGGCUGUUGAAAUCAUGAAUAUAUCUGGAGUUACGCUGGUAUAGAUCAGGAGAUUUAUGCCCGGACUUCUUGAGUGCUCUCUCCCUUCUCCAGAGACAGAAUGAUCUGACACAAUAUCUGUCACCAUAUCUCGAGAGAGGUAGAUUUAACUGUGUUCAGCUGCUGAAAAACUUGAAAGCUCACUGAGAGGAAGGAUACUGCUCAAAGUCAUGGCAGUCACUUCUUGCUGCUGAGGUUGCACACAGGAUUAGAGAACGCAGAAACCUGCUAAUGAUUAAAUUUGUGAUUUACAAGCACUGAGAGCUUUUAGGGAUGUCAGACUAACUCCAAUAGAUACAGUAAAAAACCUGAUCUUUUGGGAAAGUGUUUAUUUACAGGAACAAUAUUUGUUCAGAAACUUGUUCUCUUGCUAGAAAGAAGUUUUAGGAGAUUGCUGCAAAUAUUUUAAGAGCAGGCUCUGAUGAGUGAAUGUUCACCCUGGAGAUUUUUCUAAGAUGUUCAACAAACUAUUGCAGUUACUAGUAGAGUCAAUAUUAAACAGCAGUGAAACUCCUCUGAUAUCUACAUCACUGACUCUACAUGGCAAGAAGCGUAAUGAGACGUUGCAGUAUGCUACAAAGAAGUACCGAAGCAAAUUGGCAUUGUGGCCCAAUCUUUCUCCCUCUGUGAACUCAGGUCACUUCAAGUUCAAGUCAAGCAUCAGACGUUGUACUCUUGAUGCUCUGCUGUGAGCACGCCGCAGGAUUCUGCUUCAUCAAAUGCCAGCAAAGUCCAGGAAGGAGGAGAACUUUGCGCCCAUGUGAAGGUUAACUUGCUCACUGCUUGGGCUGGAUACGAGGUUUCCCUCCUGCUCAGGACAUGCAAAAUCCUGUGGUGGCCAAAAGCCAGCACUGUUGCCAUGAAAUGUGCAAUAUCCAGUUCUCUUUACAAGCUUCCUCUAUGUACUGGAAGGCUGCGGUGAGGUUUCUUCAGAGCCUCCUCCUCUCCAGUUUGAACAACUCCAGGUACCUGGACACCAGAAGAGAAGCAAAACCCCAGUCGUGCUCCUGUGCUGUACUGAUUUCCAGCGGUGCGGUGGCUGCAGUUCCGGGUCCAGGAGAAGCCCUCCGGUGGCUUCAGCAGCACCCUCGCUCAUGGGGCUGCAGGUGGGACCACAUCUGGCUGGAGAAAGCUGGGCACGAGGGUGGGGUGGUCCUGUGGGUGUGGGGCGACCCCGCACUGCUGCCCACCGACCUGCUCCUCUCACCUGGCAGGGUGUGCAGGGCAGGCAGGACUGACUGCGUCGCCCGAUUUUCUCACCCCAAAGUGAAACAGGGUAAAAAGUAAAAAAUGAAGCAGGACUUUCAGAGUGUACCCAGCUCUUUGCUGCUGAGUGAUGAUGUGUGCAUAUAUGUGUUUUGUCAUUGUUACUGUUGUUUUUGAAGGAGAAUAGAGGGGAAUUUGGAAUUUACUCUGUGAAUUGCCAGCCCCAGAUUAGCCAUUUCAAUUCCUGAUUGUAAUCUUGUGUAAAAAUGGAUUUUGUUCAGGGUAAUUGGGAUUUAACCAUAAAUUUAGCCUUUUGAUGUACAAUUUUAAAAAAAUUAAAAAAAUAGUCUGUAUGAUAGGUCUGAAAUUAUUUUUGACAUGCUCUUGGAGUAGUGCUGAAGAAAAAAACAUCCAAAGAGUUGAGAAAAAUGUUGCAGUGAAGUUCAGCUUACACGUGAGAGUACUGGUGGGAACUCCGUUGUGUUCACCUUGCUGGUCCUUCACUGUGGUAUUGGUGUGUGAUCAUAAUGGGUGUCUCUGUAGACAUUGUACUCAGGAAAAAAAGGUGAGAACCUAUGGGAUGUGUUACACUGACCAGUGCAACUGUCUCACAGCACUCAGCAUUUCUUGGUCAAGGCUGUGAAGGAUUUCGGCUAUUUUCCACCUUUAGCACACUUUAAAUGUACACUUCAUGACUCUGAUGACUGUCUCCUUGUUAAUGUUUCAUUGCAAUCAAAAAGCCAUUGUUAGAAAAACGACUAUUUCAAUGCCUAUUUUGUUCCCUUGUAGAGCAGAGCUGGUCUCAGUGAUUUGGCUCUCCUGGAAAGUAAUUCAUUCAAAUAAAUG